rnacentral:RNase_P_RNA from 1 species
UAAGCGGACUGUGCGAACGCGGGGACGGAGAGAAACCGUCAAUGAGGAAAGUCCGAGCGUUUCAGGAACAGGGUGCCGGAGAAAUCCCGGUGAAGGCGACUUUAAGGAAAGUGCAACAGAAAAUUACCGCCCCUUUAGGGGUAAGGUUGAAAAGGCGGGGUAAGAGCCCACCG